rnacentral:lncRNA from 1 species
CAUUUUGUCCCUAGCUGUGGCCAACAGAAAGUAAAUUACCGUGGAACUGAAUGUGAAGGAGAUGAUAGUUUGACUUUCCAGAAGACUGAAUCUUCUGCGGUUAGUUUAUUCUCCAGAGAACAUACACUACAAAAACCUGGUACAGCUGGAUCAUCUUCUUCGGAUCGGAGCAGUAUUACUGAGACACAUUGCUCUAUUGACAAUCAUGUCCGCAAUGAGGAAUAUGAGCCACUCACCAACUCUAGUACUAGCUCCAUGCUCAGCUCAUCUUGCGUGGUUCAACCAUCCAUUCUGGAAGAUUACUUCACUUCCAAUGGCCAGCUUCUGACUAGGCAAAAGGUUGGAGGAUCUGGGAAGGUUAUCGAGGAUGCAGUACCUAAUGGCUCAACUAGUGUGUCUUUGCUUGCAAGCAAACAUGUCAGACCCAUAAGUACUAGGCAAAUUGACUCUCAACAUGUCUCGUUUUCCGCUGUGAUGUCUAGGCCAAUCUCUUCUAAGUUUUCAACUUUAUCAGACUUGCACUCUUCUGCCAUAGUUCAAGAUCUUCAAAGUGGAGCUCCAGCAAUAUCUUGGAGCUCCAAUGGUUCCGACAUUGCUUCUUUUGAAAGAAGAUUCUCACAGAAACUCAAUGUUUGUGCAGCCAAAGGGAAUUCUUCCCCUUCAUCAGAUAGCAAUUCUUUGCAAGCUCUAGACUCUGAAUCAUCGGGAGCUGGUUCAAGUUAUUCGCCCUUUAAUCAUGCCUUGUCACAGAACCUAGAUUCUGAUGGACAUGGUGGAGUCAGCAAGAGUGGCAUUUUUUGGUAUGGUCUAGCCAGUCUAGUAGAUGCUGCUGUGGAUAAAAGGAAGGAAGUUUUCCAUGAUAAAGUCCUGACAGAUAAAAGCAAAGGAAAAAUGAGCAAACCUGCCACCCAAGAGGUUAUGGAGCCCUUGUCAAUGACAGUGUCUGAGCUGCAAAUCACUUGUCCUAGUCAUCCUAUUGAGUUGGCUUCAAAAUCCCUUGGUGUUAAAGAAAGUGAUCCUAUUGGAAACUCUUCUGAAAUAAUUAACGAGAAUGAUUCUGAUUUGGAUUCUCCUUGUUGGAAAGGAAAACUUAGUGCUAAUCAAUCAACCUGUGAAGUUUCUAGACCUGAUGAUUUUCAACAUCUUAAAAGUGCUCGAGGAGCUUGCAGCAAUUUAAAUCCUCUCGCGCCUCAUUUUGUCCCUAGCUGUGGCAAACAGAAAGUAAAUUACCGUGGAACUGAAUGUGAAGGAGAUGAUAGUUUGACUUUCCAGAAGACUGAAUCUUCUGCGGUUAGUUUAUUCUCCAGAGAACAUACACUACAAAAACCUGGUACAGCUGGAUCAUCUUCUUCGGAUCGGAGCAGUAUUACUGAGACACAUUGCUCUAUUGACAAUCAUGUCCGCAAUAAGGAAUAUGAGCCACUCACCAACUCUAGUACUAGCUCCAUGCUCAGCUCAUCUUGCGUGGUUCA